rnacentral:tRNA from 2 species
GGUCUAUUCGUCUAGGGGUUAGGACGCAUCCCUUUCACGGAUGAAACACGGGUUCGAUUCCCGUAUGGACUA